GAUGAACGCUGGCGGCGUGCCUAAUACAUGCAAGUCGAGCGGUAAGGCCCUUCGGGGUACACGAGCGGCGGACGGCUGAGUAACACGUAGGAACCUACCCCAAACUGAGGGAUAAGCACCAGAAAUGGUGUCUAAUACCGCAUGUGCUCUACGGAGUAAAGCUUCGGCGGUUUGGGAAGGGCCUGCGUCCGAUUAGCUAGUUGGUGGUAUAAGAGACUACCAAGGCGACGAUCGGUAGCUGGUCUGAGAGGAUGAUCAGCCAGACUGGGACUGAGACACGGCCCAGACUCCUACGGGAGGCAGCAGUAGGGAAUUUUCCACAAUGGGCGAAAGCCUGAUGGAGCAACGCCGCGUGCAGGAUGAAUGCCUUCGGGUUGUAAACUGCUUUUAUCUGUGACGAAUAUGACGGUAGCAGAUGAAUAAGGACCUGCUAACUACGUGCCAGCCGCCGCGGUAA
rnacentral:rRNA from 1 species